AGCAAAUUUAUCUUUUAAUCCAGCAGCAUUGACCUGAGUGAGAUUAUGGAACUCCUGAGCCUCAUGGAUUGCAAAAGAGACCAAACAGUCGACCUUCUGGUUACCAGCAGACAUGGGUCCCGGUAAAGUGGAGCCAUCAGUGAACACUGUAAUGGCCUCAGGAAUGGGCUGAUCUCUGGUCAAUCGAGGGACCAACCAAGAAGUCAUUUUUAUAAAAUCAAACAAUUUGUUUUUUGGAGAAUGAUUGUCAAUAACACCGAUAAAAUCAGCCACGUGAAUUUGCCACAGUAUGGAAUGUUGAAAAGUGGCUUGAACUUCGAGCUGAUUUAAAGGAACCACAGUUAAAUUUGGAUCAAAUCCAGAAAUUUUAACUAUUUGACACCGAGCUUGUCCAAUUACAGAUUUUUCAACAGCACCUUGUAAUUUAGCCAAAAAAUUAGGAUAUAAUUGAUUGUGACCCUGUUUAACAGUAGUAAAAGAAACAGGAGCUUGGCGGGGGUGUGUAAUUUAUCCCAAGCUCUUACACACACCUUUGUUACUUGUUCGGUGCUGAGAGCAUCAAAGCCUAAUUAGGUGGUAUUGUCAGAGUAAUUAUUGGAGCCUGUGAGCUGAGCCUGAGUAAUUGGAAUGCCAUCAGCCCGAUUUAGCUGAGCCUGCAGACAGGCCUCCUCUGACCACCAAGUACAGAAUUGUAAAUGCUGAGAUGGAGUUAGAACAGCUUUUGCCAAAAGGUCCCAGUCUAAAGGAAGCAAAAUGACCUCAGUACAAAGAGUCUGUAAUACCUUUUAACAUAAGGAGAAGCAGGAUCAUACUGAGUACAAGCAUCCUUGAAUUUUUUUAAAAAGCUGGUCCCUCCGUUCGGGGUCCCUGACUUCCUGCAACAGCAACUCCAUUCAGAAGAGGGCAGGACAGACAGCGGCAGGCCUCAUCAGAACCCGAAGGCCAUGCAGAACCUUCUCAUGACAGCCUCUUGGGGGAGACAGGGGACCAACCAGAGUUGUAGCAGCUCUUACAGACCUCCCACUCUCUGGAGGAUCACAAGGUGUCCUGCCAUGACUCAGAUGAGCCUCAGUUUGAGCUUUUGCCUCCGUGGCCUGUGUGGAUAUGUGCAGGGCCACCAGGGUGCCGUGGUGGAGCCGUUCCCUACACAGCCUGGAGGGCUUGUGUGAAGUGGCUAUUUAUAAUGAGCAGACUUAGGAGAAAUUGAAUAAAGAGGUUUUCAUGAAAUCU